rnacentral:rRNA from 1 species
AGGGAAUCUUCCGCAAUGGGCGCAAGCCUGACGGAGCAACGCCGCGUGAGUGAUGAAGGCCUUCGGGUUGUAAAACUCUGACUUCUGUGAAGAACAAGCCUAUGAAGAGAACGCUUAGGCCCUGACGGUAACAGAGGAGGAAGCCCCGGCUAACUACGUGCCAGCAGCCGCGGUAAUACGUAGGGGGCAAGCGUUGUCCGGAAUCACUGGGCGUAAAGCGCGCGCAGGCGGCCAUUGCGUCCGGGGUGAAAGCCCAGAGCUCAACUCUGGGACUGCCUUGGAUACGGGAUGGCUUGAGGAUCGGAGAGGCAAGGGGAAUUCCACGUGUAGCGGUGAAAUGCGUAGAGAUGUGGAGGAACACCUGUGGCGAAGGCGCCUUGCUGGCCGAUUUCUGACGCUGAGGCGCGAAAGCGUGGGGAGCAAAC